AUUGAACGCUGGCGGCAUGCCUUACACAUGCAAGUCGAACGGCAGCACGGGAGCUUGCACCUGGUGUCGAGUGGCGAACGGGUGAGUAAUACAUCGGAACACGUCCCUGAGCUGUGGAUAGCGCGGCGAAAGCCGGAUCAAUACCGCAUACGGUCUACGGAUGAGAGCGGGGGACCUUCGGGCCUCGGGCUCAGGGUUAGGCCGCUGGCUGAUUGGCUAUUUGGGGGGGUAAAGGCCUACCAAGGCGACGAUCAGUACCUGGCGUGAGAGGACGACCAGCCACACUGGAACUGGGACACGGCCAAGGGUCCUACGGGAGGCAGCAGUGGGGAAUGUUGGACAGUAGGCGAAAGCCUGAUCCAGCAAUGGCGCGUGUGUGGAGGCGGCGUUCGGGUUGUAAAGCAGUUUUGUCCGGAGAGAAAUCCUUGGCCCUAAUACGGUGGGGGGAUGACGGUACCGGAAGAAUAAGCACCGGCUAACUACGUG
rnacentral:rRNA from 1 species